rnacentral:rRNA from 1 species
UACGUAGGGUGCAAGCGUUAAUCGGAAUUACUGGGCGUAAAGGGCGCGUAGGCGGCGCGGUAUGUCACCUGUGAAAUCUCCUGGCUCAACUGGGAGCUUGCAGGCGAAACUGCCGUGCUGGAGUGUGGGAGAGGUGCGUGGAAUUCCUGGUGUAGCGGUGAAAUGCGUAGAUAUCAGGAGGAACACCUGUGGCGAAAGCGGCGCACUGGACCACAACUGACGCUGAGGCGCGAAAGCUAGGGGAGCAAACAGG